rnacentral:rRNA from 1 species
AUCUGUGGCCAUGCCACUCUGAACAAGCCUGAUCCCGUCUGAUCUCGCUAAGCAGGGUCGGGCCUGGUUAGUACUUGGAUGGGAGACCACCUAGGAAGACCAAGUGCUAUAGGCG